UACGUAGGGGGCAAGCGUUGUCCGGAUUUAUUGGGCGUAAAGAGCGUGUAGGCGGCCAGGUAGGUCCGCUGUGAAAACUCGAGGCUCAACCUCGAGAUGUCGGCGGAAACCAUCUGGCUAGAGUCCGGAAGAGGAGAGUGGAAUUCCUGGUGUAGCGGUGAAAUGCGCAGAUAUCAGGAGGAACACCGGUGGCGAAGGCGGAUCUCUGGGCCUUACCUGACGCUGAGGCGCGAAAGCUAGGGGAGCGAACAGG
rnacentral:rRNA from 1 species